AAGGCACAACAGUACAGACAAACCAGCACUUAGGCACCUACAUGGGCAACAACAUAAUAGCAGCUGUGCUAUUAGCAUUGGUAGCACAAGCAAAGGACAAAGCUAGGGCACAACAGAAAAUUACACAGAGUCCUUGAUCAAAGUGCCAUAGAACUGCCUCGAAACCAGUGCAAUGUGCAGUGUUCAGUUGCAGUGAAGCACAAAGCAGGGGGCAAACCUCAAACCUGAGAACGAAUUGCUCUGCACCAGUAUUCAUAUUUAGUGCCACCACUGUGUGGCGCACGAAAAAAAAAAAAAAAAAAAAAAAAAAAAAAAAAAAAAGCUUCACUGUCAGAAAAACUCGUUAAAAAUUAAUUUAUGGUUAUGGCAAGCAGCACACUUUUUGGCUGUUGCCUUCUCCACCAGUAUUGGCUGUCUGCAGUCCACAGUUUGUGCAGUUACACAAUUUAACUAUUACAAUGCUUUAAUUUACACAGAGUGCGACUGCUGGUGUGCACUGGUGUGGGUUAUUGAGGAUGCUAAAGAAAAACUGAAAACAACUAGUGCCAGAAAAAGAUACUGGGGUCAUCAGAAGAUGGAGACUGAUGUCUGACGUAUGUAUGACUGACGUCUCCCUCCAAAUUUUUUUUUUUUUUUUUUGCAGGUACAUUAGAUGGAAUUGGCAGUGGUUUUAUGGAAGCACAUCCGAUGUUUGUCAUUGGUUUUUCCCCGUUUCAUGUUAGGAUAUGUGGGGUAUAAGCAUGCGUAACAGAUAAAUACAUGCUUCCCUCGUUCCAGCACUUAUUCUGAGUGUUGUGGUGCAGCAUGCCUGUUUCGGCGCAGCCUGUGCAGGUCAGUGUGCUCAUCGUUGCCGUAACAACUGCUGCAUCUGCUUUGAUGAAGUUGAUGCACACUUUCACAGUAAGAGAAACACUAUUCAGUGCCCCUCUACACGAUACUACUACAACGUGUGCUUAUCGGAAAUACAGCAAUGCUGCAAUUAUGUGCUCCGUUACCGACCUACUAUGUGAACAGUGGAAAUCCGUUUGUGUCGCAGCAUUUCACAAUUAUAAAGAUGUCAAAGUUGAAACUGCAAUACAUAACAGAAUGAAAUUAAUGGAAUAACAAACAGAAAUUAACAAAUGUGAUUGGGAAUUCAUGCACAUUAACUAAAUUAAAUUCUAUGGCAAUCAGUAAUAACGCGGCUGAAUGCUUGCUUUUCUACUGAAACAUGCAGUGGCUGUUUGUGUUCAAUAAGUUAUAGGUAAUGUAUGUGAAGUGCACAAGAAUUUGGUUUUAGAAACACCGAAAUCUGUAAAAAUUAUGUGGCAGAAAUCUGAAUAGUUUGCAGUAGGUGGUUAAUACUAGAAAUACAGAAACCGUUGGAAGUCCAGAGUUUUAUUAGCAUUGAAGCAAAACCUUCUGAUUGAUACGCUGGGUACUUUGUUUGGAUAAAUUCACUAAAUGUUUGUUCCUUUUUUCUUUUUCCCCUGCCUGACAUGGCAAAAGCCGUUUUGCCACUUGCAUCUGAUAAGGCAAGACGAUACUGAACAGUGCAUCAUCACUACUGCCGGCCACACGCAUCGGACUGUCCUAGUCCAACCAACGUAGUACUUUCGUACUUGUAGUUGGAUUCAUAGGGAGCAUUGCAAUAAGCUUUCAUCGCCUAACCAUGGUUACACACACCCAGCCUUCUGGAGACUGUUGGGAGUUAUACCACAAAUGUGUAAAGACAUGGAAAUGGCUGUGCAAGGAAUCCCCCUAAUUACAUUAGGAGAAAGCCAAUAGAAGGUGCUGCAAGUUAACAUGAAAGCCUCCAAGUGGACUGAUGAUCCUGGUACGCUAACUGAACAUAGAAGUUGCCUGAACAACAAGAAUAUCAAGGCAUGUUUUGCAGGGCGAGGUAGUAUAUGGACACCUUGUAAAUAGGUGGCAGAAGUGGGGGGAAAAAUUAUUGCCCCAGGGUAGCACAUCACAGAUAAUUCAGGUGCUUUCUUAUGAAAUAUGAUAGCAGGUCAAGUGUCAAUUAGGGACAGUUUCCAGAAAAGACUUUUCAUCACUUUCUUCCGGUAAUUUUGAAUAUAUUGAAACCUUUGUUAGUAACAGCAUACCUUUAAAGGUGCACUGAUGCACAUAAUUAAAUUUGUAGAAACUUUACCAUACACUUCUCACACAUAAAAGGACGACACUAGGCAAGUUGGUCUCAAAGCACCGGACCUGGCUUCAUCAACAUUAUUGUACCGUCACGACACAGCAAAAUUUUCUGGUGUUGUGUAGCAUUUAGGCUAUGUGUGGUCUAAACAGAGAGAGAAAAAAAAAAAAAAGACCAGAAAGCGGAAGCACCAGAAAGGCGGUGGUCCCAGGUUAGAGUCCCGGACCAGGGCGAAUUUUUCAACUGAGAGGCUUUUCUUUCAACGAACCUGUAUGGGUUUCCUUUGUAGCAACCGCUACGAUUGGGUGGAUGUCUCAUUUUCCCUUUAUUAAUUACUUCUCUCCACCUUGUGGGUUUAUGCAGAACUAUUACGUCAAAGCAUUAACUGUUUGCACCUAAUAGCUCACACAUUUCUUAAUGUUAAGCCGCUAUAGAUGGUACAUAAGCAGGAAUCACAUGCUUUGCUUGUAUGUAAAGUAAGCCUACGGUGCUUCUGACCCCGAGUGAUACCAGCACACUGCCUUGGCCACGAGUGCCUUGGCAUACCUGUGCUCGUGCUCCUUCCUGCUUUCUUCAGGCAAAGCAGUGAAAAGAGAUGCUGUCAAAUGGAUUUUGUCCUUUAGAAUUUGCUUUCGUUUCCACAUUGCUUGCUCUUCAUGAACUAGUAGCAAUUGGUUUUUACAUCUAUAGGCGUCUGCCGAAUAGCUAUCACAUUCAGUUUACUUUUCAAAGGUACAUGAAAGCUGAUGCGCAUGUUAGGAAUCUGUGCCGAAAGAAAGGAUGAGGAAGAAACCUCAAAAUGAUCUGGUUGUAUUCUUAAAAAAUUUAAAUGUGAUCUAAGUUACCAUAAUAGAAACUCUCCUGCAUUAUUUUGGCAGCUUCAUGGUGUAAAUGGACAUUGCCUAACUCAACCUCCAUGCAGGCUGUUUAUCAUUCCUUCUAAACGUGCAAUGAACCUAUCGAGCCAACAUUUAUUAAAAAAAAAAAAAAAAACGCAAAGAGAGAGGGAAAAAAAGGGACGAAGACAAAUCAGUCCUUGUCACCAGUCUUUUUUCCAACAAAUAAUGCAACACAAUAUUUCAUAGGGGCCAGCUGUUAGUAAUUAAAGCUCAUUUAUCAAAGGAGGAUAGACUGAUAGGAGACUGCUGAUAGAAAACUACCGAUAAAAGGAUAGACCUGUCGCUUUCUUCAGGGUGUCUACCAAGUUGACAUUUCCAAAUUUCCAGAGGUUCCAGGUUUUCCCUGAGUGCCUUUGCGAAAUUCCCCGAGUGACACAGAACUUCGUUUUAUGUCAACAUAGGUUGACACCAUGUUACCCGAUGCUGCGAUACUAGUAAGCAUGUUAAAAAAAAAAAAAAAAAAAAAAAAGAAAA